rnacentral:sRNA from 1 species
GAGGGAGGGUAUGAAACAUGUAAAACAUAUCUGAGAAAGUGCCCAUCCCGUCAUCCUUGGUUGCCUGAAUACCUUGACUCCCACUGGGAGGAGAACGGACACAUCACAGAGUCCUAGUUAUUGAGGAGGCAGGAAGACACGAUCAGUCACGACCAUACCAUGAAGCAAAGAGAAUCCAGACACAGCAGUGUGAGCUGUGGGAUUCUGUUGGCUAAAAUGUCCCGAUUCUUGGUGACGGGACAUAACAGAGGCCAAGGUGAAGAUCUGCCUUGGAGGCAGAGAGGAAGGGGAAGGCGCGUAAGGUGCAGCCCUUGAAGACUGGGUGUGUUUGGUUUCUGACUGGAGUCUGGUCACACACUUUGGAGUGGGUCGUUCUAACAGACCAACUUAUCCAUUUUGUGGGUGGAUAAAGAAGGGAGUCCCGUGUCACAGGAUAUUGGAACCCCAAGAUCGUGUGCCCAUCCCAAGCACACACUUUUAGUCAAAGAGCUUUGCGUUUAUCAUAAGCAGUCUUAAAUAAAAUCAACCACAGAUCAAGAAGUGGAGCAAAGCAACCAGCUGACGGGGUGGACAUUGAAGUAAAUGGACAGAGUGGGAGGAAGUCAGGAGGAGGGAUAGUGAGGCACACAGGAAGGAGAAGGGAGGGAUGCUCAGUUGGAAGGUUUAUUGGGCUAGUGUGGAGAAGGAGAGCUUUUUCCUUUUGGGAUGCUGGCUGAGCAGCAAGGUCAGCUGGGUGCUUUCUCUGCCCCUCUGAGGCUUUCACCCCAGCAUCUGGCUCCUGACUCUUCACUGGUAAAUGGAACGUUUAAGACUCUGUUAAGAACAACAGUGGGGGUCCACCUACUGAUUGGCUUUCACAGUCGCUCGCUCCUUCCUCCACAGGGGAGUUCAUCUUCUCUUGACUUUCUUUGGUGAACUCCUAUAGAUUGAUCUCAUCUAGACCAGGCUUCUUCUUCUUAAGGAAGCCCUUUUCCUAUUGUAUCAGUCAGCGGUGGCCGCAAAACAAACACGACCAUGAAGAGAGUGAGAACAGUGAUUGUUAGCUCACAUUUCUUUAUUUGGGACGUACGUGAUACCCAUGAGCUGGGGUGUCAGACAGGAGGGCUCCAUCCAGACAGAGUACCCAGGGAGGAAGCCAGCAGCAGGAUAUGACAUAGGCCCGCUGUCUAGGCCCCUCAGUGGCAGAGUGGAGACCAGACCGAGUAUGGAACUCAGGCGGUGACCACUAGCCUGUACAGAUUCGGACCCCAGCCCCGGCACCUCCUUCCUGUGCAGCUUUGGGUGGGCGUGGACUUCUGUCCUGGUGAAAGGGAGUCACAGUGAGUUUUAGAGGCAAUGAUCACACAUAAUGUGCAGAGCUGCUCCCUAUACAUAGUAGGUACACAGCAAGGACCCUGUAGUCUGCUUGCUCUGGCAGACUAAUGUCACUCAGAGAUCCCUGGUGGCAGGGGAUCCUGACUCAUUCAGUGACCUUGGUAUCCUCAGUUCUGCAGUGACUAUGGCCUGGAGCAGCUGUGACUGGGUGGCCCCUCUCCAGGUGCAGGUGCUGGACCUGCAGGAUCCUCCAGUGUGUCUCAGAGCCAGCCCCAUGUUUAAGGGCUUGCCCUAGGAUGCAGGUCAAAGGUAACCAGGCCCCUCCACCACCAGCAGUGUGGACCGCAACGUGGCGUGGCGUUAAUGUUGGAGUAAGUUGGCACUAGUCGCUGCGGGCUGUGUGGGAGCCCUGCCUCCUCUCCCUCUCCUUCUAACUUGGGAACUGACUCUCUUUCUAACCAGUUCCUCUACCCUUGGGGUCAUUCACUGGCCUUAGCAGGAAGCUGGAAGAGAGGAUGGGAGGGAGGAGGGGCUUGGGGAGAUCCAUCCACAGCAGAGAUAGCAGGACUCUGGUACUUCACCGGGAUCCUAAGCUGCCUGCCUGGUUUCUUGUGCCCUGUUUUAAGAACAGGUUUCUUUUUGAUACCAACCUUUCUGGAAAGAACUGCCCACGCGAACAUCACCUGCCCUGCGACCCGAUCAUUGCAGAACUCCUUCAGCAAAGCAGGAGGCUGGCUCCUGACAGACCUCUGGUCCUGAGGUCAGGCUCCCCUCUCCAGCAUCCCCAUCCACGAGAGGCACCGUGGGUGGCAUGUCCCUAGUAGCAGGGCCCUUUCGCCAUCACAAAGAGAACCCACUUCUCCCAAAUGAAUGGAACCCCAACUUCAGGAACACAUGGUCUCACUGCAGUGUGCGGACAGGUGGGGGAUUCUCGGCUCUACUUGAUCCUGACAGGAUAUGGGACAACUGUGGCCACUAAGCAUCUAGACCUCAUGGCUCAUGGAUUUCAUAGCAGAAUCCAUGCCCCAAUCCUGUGCAUUCUCAGGGGGCUGCUGGGUGCUCAGUGGUGAUAUAAGGGGACACACACACACGCUCAGGACAAUGAGGCAGCAAAUAGGGGUGUAGCGUCUGGGUCACAGUGACACUGGGAGGGAGGGAGAGGCGCCUGUGGUAGGAAGGAAGUUAGAGAUGUGCGUAGAAGGAACCAAGGGCUGAGAAUCAGGAAGGUGGAAGAGUAUCUAGCUGUGGGCAGAAGAGUCCAUUGUGGUGUCAGACUAGCUUUAAAGGAAUGGGGAGGGUGCACAGGACACCCAGACUUCCCCACAUGUCCCUGUCAGAGAAUGUCUCCAUCUUCUCAGGGUUUCUUGCAGUCUCCCUCAUUUACUUCCUUCCCUGGCCACUUCUUUCACCAGGACUCGCUGGUACUCACCGUCAGCCGUCAGCCGCUGUGCAGGGCACAGGUGGUCCCAUGCCAGUCCCUGCCUCUGCCACCAGGGACAUAAAGGGCAGUUUGAUGUGGAAGGACUCAGUAAUAGCAGUGUCGUGCCACAGUGAGAAAGUGUGUCUCUGCUAGAGGUGCUCCCGCCCCCAGAACCAUUCUCUUCCAAGCAAAGCAAAGUUACAUUGUUAUACCUGUCAGAUGGCUUGAGGGAAGGCCGUGUGCCAGCAUCUAGUGCCCCGGAACACCUCAAAUGGAUCCUGGAAGGACUUCAUGGUGACCGGGCUUGGUGGGGUGCAGCUGCUCAUUUUGACAGGCUGGAAGAGAGGACCAGGAGAGCAAGCAAAAGGAGGCAGUGGAGACAAGCAAUACCCUUCCAAAGCAUGUCCCCCAUAGUGGCCUCUUCCCUUAAACUCUCCCUCUGCCUCCCAACUUCCCAUUGCCUCCCAACACCACUGCCAGUUAUAACUCUAUCGAGGGACUUUCCAUUGAUGAAGACAGCACCUGUUUGCUGGUUCAUCUAAUCUGUGUCUGGAUUCAUCUAUACUGUCAUUGCUAUAGGCAGUGUGUGUGUGUGUGU